rnacentral:lncRNA from 1 species
UCCCGGCCCUCUGCCUCCUCUCCCACAACGCCGGGCCUGUCCCAAGUGAACAGAAGGAGAAAGACAGGGCUUUGGAGUCAGAUUCGCUGGGUUCCAGCUCAGAACUCUGCUUUUUUAGCUGGGUGGUCUUCUGUGUUCCGGUCUGCGUAAUGAAGAGACCCUCUCUCAUGCUAUCGCAGUCAGGUCCCCCAACUGCUCUUUCUGGCUGAACUUCCCAGAAGACCUCGGUCACGAAAUGAGAGCCACAGUGCCUGGCCCAGCUUCCAUGGGGAAGGUGACAUCAUGAGGCUUAAUGGAAUUACAGCUCACUCCAUCAGCUAAUCCUCAACCCUGGAAUCCACCCUCUCUGGCCCUUCCUGGCCUCCCCUCUGUGAUCCCAGGUAGGUGUGAAUGGAGCCUCGAUGCCCCUACUUCCGGCUGACUUCACUCCACCCCAUCCUCCAGCUUCUGAGAUACUAGAGGAUUAAAGCUGGACCCACAGAGGAUGAGGAUCACCUCUACCAUCACCCAGGGAGGCUCCAAGUGCGGCAUGAGUGGACCCAAAGCAGAGCUCUUAAAGAAGCCGAGUCAUUGAAACACAGUGCAAGAGUCAAAUAGCCCAUUUCCAGUGUGAAGACACUAAGAGACACCUCAUGUUAAAAAUGGGAAGCUUGCUGGUACCCCUCACACCGCAUUCGUGGAUGAUAAAUGACGUCAAGUGUUUAGCAAGGGUUUGACAUAUUCUAAGCAUUCAAUCAGUGGUUGUUGCGGUUGUUCAGUUGCUAAGUCAUGUCUUACUCUGUGACCCCGUGAACUGCAGCAUGCCAGGCUUCCUUGUCCUUCACCAUCU